rnacentral:rRNA from 1 species
AGUAACGCGUGGGUAACCUGCCCUGUACAGGGGGAUAACAGCUGGAAACGGAUGCUAAAACCGGAUAGGUAGCAGACAAGCAUUUGACUGCUAUUAAAGUGGCUAAGGCCAUGAACAUGGAUGGACCUGCGGUGCAUUAGCUAGUUGGUGAGGUAACGGCCCACCAAGGCGACGAUGCAUAGCCGGCCUGAGAGGGCGGACGGCCACAUUGGGACUGAGACACGGCCCAAACUCCUACGGGAGGCACAUG